rnacentral:rRNA from 1 species
GACGAACGCUGGCGGCGUGCUUAACACAUGCAAGUCGAACGAUGAAGCCGGAGCUUGCUCCGGUGGAUUAGUGGCGAACGGGUGAGUAACACGUGAGCAAUCUGCCCUUGACUCUGGGAUAACUGCGGGAAACUGUAGCUAAUACCGGAUACGAAACCUUGGGGCAUCCCAGGGUGUGGAAAGAAUUUCGGUCAAGGAUGGGCUCGCGGCCUAUCAGCUAGUUGGUGAGGUAAUGGCUCACCAAGGCGACGACGGGUAGCCGGCCUGAGAGGGUGACCGGCCAAACUGGAACUGAGACACGGUCCAGACUCCUACGGGAGGCAGCAGUGGGGAAUAUUGCACAAUGGGCGAAAGCCUGAUGCAGCAACGCCGCGUGAGGGAUGAAGGCCUUCGGGUUGUAAACCUCUUUUAGCAGGGAAGAAGCGAAAGUGACGGUACCUGCAGAAAAAGCACCGGCUAACUACGUGCCAGCCGCCGCCGUAA